rnacentral:rRNA from 1 species
UACGUAGGGUGCAAGCGUUGCCCGGAUUUAUUGGGCGUAAAGGGCGCGUAGGCGGCUCUGCACGUUCGUUGUGAAAUCGCCCGGCUCAACUGGGCGGGGUCAGCGGAUACGGCAGAGCUUGAGCAAGCUAGGGGGCAAUGGAAUUCCCGGUGUAGUGGUGGAAUGCGUAGAUAUCGGGAGGAACACCAGUGGCGAAGGCGGUCUGCUGGGCAGUUUCUGACACUGAUGCGCGACAGCGUGGGGAGCAAACAGG